AUCCAUCUGACGAGUCCUAAAUAGGAUGAAACGUGCAUCAUGGAU
rfam:Schistosoma margrebowiei strain Zambia genome assembly, scaffold: SMRZ_contig0000978